UGUCGAGCCCCCGCAGGUUGGGGAUGAUAGCAAUGUAGUCGGGGCAGAAACCAUUGAGCAGCAGUCGGGUCUUUCAAGUGCAUUGAAUGUGCCUUCGAUGUCCGGAACGACUGUGUCAAGACCAGUUGGCUCUGCUCCGGCGUAUCGAGUACUGCGGAUUCCUUCCAAGCUCGUUGUCAAAUGGGCAAAAGUGAAUGUUGCGUCCCUUGGUUUGGCGGUGCCAAAACCAAAGAGGGUGCCAACAAGGGAACAGACUACUUCGUCCAUUCCGGUGCCACCAACCACUCCAGCCCCCGAGCAUGUGGGGGAAGAGCAAGUAAGAUGCGCCAGGAGUCGAGGAGCCUGCAACAUCCGUUGCUGCGGAAGAUGUUGUGUUGGGGGAGGAAGAGGAUGGCACUCGCGUACCUGGUGAUGCUGCUGCAGUACCUCCGCGAGAUAACCCUGUGCCUUUUGCAAGUGCUGGGCUCAGUGGUGGUGUGGGGGCAUCUAGCUCUCGUGGUGCGCGACCGCUGCUGGGUGGUCACCAUGAUGAUGACCUGGUGGGAAUUGAAGCUUGUACAAAGAUCCUCGAGGGGCAGCGGUGUGCACUUGCUGAUCACCAGCAAAUCAUUGAGCGAUUCCGGCAGAGGUCCACUGAGACCAAUAACAUGAAGAAGGAAAUUUCUCGAAAAACCGCAUAGAUUGGAGAUCUGGAGGGUCCGUUGUAUGCUGCUCAAGCUACUGCCCAGAAUUAGGUUCUCAGAAUACAGGACGAAAUGAUGAGUUGGCCAGGAGGAAUCACGACUUGUUGGCUCAGAGCCAGAAGGAAAGGGAUCAGGCUUUUCGAAAUUAUGAGGCUUGUCUCUACCAAGUUCUCAACCAAUGGAACAAUGAUUGAUCUCCAAAACAUCCCGAAUGGCAAAUGCAUUGGAGAUAUGCGGUGUUCCAGCAGGCAUGCAACUGCCAAAAUCGCACAAACAAGGGACUACAGCUCAGGACACAAAUCCACAGAUAAACUUGGAAUAGGUUCUCAAACAUCUUCUGCUACAAAACUUAGUAUCACGAGUAUCUGGUAAGAAUUAACGAUGUUCUGCUUGGACAAAAGGAUUUUCACACGAAUUUUGAAGGAAAACAUUCCGGAGGAAAGGAAUCAUGUCGAUGCAUUUGGAUCAAAGGAAUUCUGAGUUCCGUUCCAGAGGAAAGGAAGCCAAUGAUAUGCACAACACUGGAAAUAAAACAUCAAUUCCAACCGAAGAGAAGGAAUCUCUGCUCAUCUCUACUGACCCUGUCACAUUUCUAUCUCCUCCCUGGGAUGUAAACAGAUACAGACGGAUAUUACUGAUAUCGUAUUUGUUUUAAUAUUUUUGUUUGAAUAUAGAGUCGGAUACGAAUAGUGUUAGUUUUUGCCGAAUAAAAUUAUAAUAGGUAU